rnacentral:rRNA from 1 species
UACAGAGGGGGCAAGCGUUGUUCGGAAUUACUGGGCGGUAAAGGGCGCGUAGGCGGCCUGUUAAGUCAGACGUGAAAUCCCCUCGGCUCAACCGGGGGAACUGCGUCUGAUACUGGCGGGCUUGAAUUCGGGAGAGGGAUGUGGAAUUCAGGUGUAGCGGUGAAAUGACGUAGAUAUCAGGAGGAACACCGGUGGUGUAGACGGCUAUCUGGACCGUAACUGACGCUGAGGCACGAAAGCGUGGGUAGCAAACAGG